CCUACGGGAGGCAGCAGUGAGGAAUAUUGGUCAAUGGGCGGAAGCCUGAACCAGCCAAGUAGCGUGCAGGAUGACGGCCCUACGGGUUGUAAACUGCUUUUAUACGGGAAUAACGCGCCUUACGUGUAGGGCUUUGCAUGUACCGUAUGAAUAAGGACCGGCUAAUUCCGUGCCAGCAGUCGCGGUAAUACGGAAGGUACGGGCGUUAUCCGGAUUUAUUGGGUUUAAAGGGAGCGUAGGCCGCAUGUCAAGCGUGCGUUGAAAUGUCCGGGCUCAACCCGGGCCUUGCAGCGCGAACUGGCGUGCUUGAGUCCGCGGAAAGCAGGCGGAAUUCGUCGUGUAGCGGUGAAAUGCUUAGAUAUGACGAAGAACCCCGAUUGCGAAGGCAGCUUGCUGCAGCGGAACUGACGCUGAUGCUCGAAAGCGCGGGUAUCGAACAGGAUUAGAUACCCGGGUAGUC
rnacentral:rRNA from 1 species